rnacentral:rRNA from 1 species
ACGGGUGAGUAACACGUGAGUAACCUGCCCAAGACUCUGGGAUAAGCCUGGGAAACUGGGUCUAAUACUGGAUGCCGACUUCCUGCCGCAUGGUGGGGGGUUGAAAGGCUUUUGUUGGUUUUGGAUGGACUCGCGGCCUAUCAGCUUGUUGGUGGGGUAAUGGCCUACCAAGGCGACGACGGGUAGCCGGCCUGAGAGGGUGACCGGCCACACUGGGACUGAGACACGGCCCAGACUCCUACGGGAGGCAGCAGUGGGGAAUAUUGCACAAUGGGCGAAAGCCUGAUGCAGCGACGCCGCGUGAGGGAUGACGGCCUUCGGGUUGUAAACCUCUUUCAGUAGGGAACAAGGCCAGCACUUGUGUUGGUUGAGGGUACUUGCAGAAGAAGCGCCGGCUAACUACGUGCCAGCAGCCGCGGUAAUACGUAGGGCGCAAGCGUUAUCCGGAAUUAUUGGGCGUAAGGAGCUCGUAGGCGGUUUGUCGCGUCUGCCGUGAAAGUCCGGGGCUCAACCCCGGAUCUGCGGUGGGUACGGGCAGACUAGAGUGAUGUAGGGGAGACUGGAAUUCCUGGUGUAGCGGUG